rnacentral:rRNA from 1 species
GACAGAGGUGGCAAGCGUUGUUCGGAAUUACUGGGCUUAAAGGGCGCGUAGGCGGCAUGGCAAGUCCGCAGUGGAAUCCUGCAGCCCAACUGCAGAAUUGCUGUGGAAACUGCCGUGCUUGAGUCAGUGAGGGGAGGGCGGAAUUCCCGGUGUAGCAGUGAAAUGCGUAGAUAUCGGGAGGAAGGCCGGUGGCGAAGGCGGCCCUCUGGCGCUUGACUGACGCUGAGGCGCGAAAGCGUGGGGAG